AUUGAACGCUGGUGGCAUGGCUAAAACAUGCAAGUCGAACGGACCCGCAAGGGUUAGUGGCGGAAGGGUGAGUAAAAGUAUCGAAUGUACCCCGAGGUGUGGGAUAGGCAUGGGAAACUGUGCGUAAUACCGCAUGAGCACUACGGUGGAAAGGCGCAAGCCGCCUUGGGAGCAGCGAUAUACCUAUCAGGUAGUUGGCGGGGUAAAGGCCCACCAAGCCGAAGACGGGUAGCCGGUAUGAGAGUACGGCCGGCCACAUCGGGACUGAGACACUGCCCGGACUCCUACGGGAGGCUGCAGUAACGAAUAUUCCGCAAUGCGCGAAAGCGUGACGGAGCAAUGCCGCGUGCAGGAUGAAGCGGUUUCGCCGUGUAAACUGCUGUCAGGGUCGGAAAUACUGAUCUGCCCCAGAGGGAGAGACGGCUAACCCUGUGCCAGCAGCCGCGGUAAUACAGGGGUCUCGAGCGUUAAUCGGAAUCACUGGGCUUAAAGGGUGCGUA
rnacentral:rRNA from 1 species